rnacentral:rRNA from 1 species
UGGGGAAUAUUGGACAAUGGGCGCAAGCCUGAUCCAGCAAUGCCGCGUGUGUGAAGAAGGCCUUCGGGUUGUAAAGCACUUUUAUCAGGAGCGAAACACUGUCGGCUAAUACCCGGCGGAACUGACGGUACCUGAGGAAUAAGCACCGGCUAACUUCGUGCCAGCAGCCGCGGUAAUACGAAGGGUGCAAGCGUUAAUCGGAAUUACUGGGCGUAAAGCGUGCGUAGGCGGUUUCUUAAGUCUGCUGUGAAAUCCCCGGGCUCAACCUGGGAAUGGCAGUGGAUACUGGGAGGCUAGAGUGUGUCAGAGGGUGGUGGAAUUCCCGGUGUAGCGGUGAAAUGCGUAGAGAUCGGGAGGAACAUCAGUGGCGAAGGCGGCCACCUGGGACAACACUGACGCUGAGGCACGAAAGCGUGGGGAGCAAACAGGACUAGAUACCCUGGUAGUCCACGCCCUAAAGCGAUGCGAACUGGAUGUUGGUCUCAACUCGGAGAUCAGUGUCGAAGCUAACGCGUUAAGUUCGCCGCCUGGGGAGUACGGUCGCAAGACUGAAACUCAAAUGAAUUGAC